GGGACUUUUGGUGCUCAAGAUUUCUCGUCGUUUAGGUACAACGGGGAAGAAAACCGUUUGCUCCGUUUGUCCCUAGCCGAGCUUGCAGCACAGAAUCGACAGGAUGCGUGGCCGGCAAGGCGGAAAAAGCAGCGUCCGAGACCCAUCAACUAGCCCAAAUUAAUUUACAUAUCUCAUAAAAGCAAGUGCACUGCAGUUGGAGCUUUGGAAAUAGGCCUGUGUUUAAAACAGAUUCGAGUGGUCGACACAUGAAGUGGGCUCAUUCAUGUGAGUACCCAUGUCAGUGCUGUAUUGUCUUUUUUUGAAGAGGAUUGAUCGAUUGUUCCUGCUUUAGAUAAAAGUCUAGUGAUCUAGAGAGCAUAGUUUAAAAGGCUGAUGAAAAAGGGAACACUUUUGGAUUUUGCGUGCUAACUACUAUCUUGUCAGCUGCUACAGUUUUUGUAAAUAUUCAGUAAAUAUAUUUGGUGCAUCUCUUUUCCUCUGUAACACUUUCAUGGAGGUUGCGGACGCUUCCAGACGCAAGACUGAUUUAUGCAGCAGGCACUCAAGGCGAGAAUGCUUUGGCUACGUUGCCAUCUGCGUCCACAGUCAUCCUGGCACAACCGCCAUGGCCACAGAAGAGACCAGGGUCACGAUGUUGGGCAACCAUGACGAUAAGAGCAGUCGGACAAGCUGAAGCCGUUGCAGAUGCGGUCUCGUCACCGGGAGGUAUGGUGACAAGCUCGAUAUGCCGACCACUUCGGAGUGCCGUGACGUGGACGGGGAUCGCUAACCUCCACCAGAAUGUUGCACAGACACAGACGAAAUACAGAGAUGAAAGAGGCUAUUUACAUGCUAUUUACACUGGAGCCAGACAGCCAGGCCAACACUCGCUCACGCCAUGAGCCCAGACACACUUCAUCUCUUCCUCGCGGCGGCUCGUCUCUUGAGCAUCUCUCGAUGAGAUCGUAAUAAUAUGAAUGUCUGUACUACAUAGUGUGGUGUGUAGUGCAUGACAUGGUACGGUAGAUGGAGAGAGACAAGAAGCAGACGAGAAAGAAUGUGCACGCAGAGGCGAAUUCUGUACUGGAUGGAAGACAACGUCGAAGAGCGUCCGGCACGUGAGCACGCAGCACUAGAAGAAAAAAAUAAAAGGAAAAGGCAUCCAAUCAGAAGAAAACACGGAGCUUCCAGGGGCCAAUCAGGAAAGGACAAAUCGACCAGAGCGGCAGAAAAGCGAGGUGCGCUGGCAGAAGAAGGGAGAGUUCCAGGAAGCGACGCCAAGAGAACGUCAGCCACCGGACCGGGAGUUCAAGACCGGCCGGCAGGUUCCGGACCCGAGCCACCAGGACUUCACCCAACCGGGACCUCCUGCCAACCCGUUCCUGGGCUUCGCCACUCUACCCGAUCAUGAACUGCUGCUCGAAACCGGCGAGUUUCUGCGCCCAUGGGCAGAACGAGAGCAGUCGGGCUAUGGGCCUGAGUUCUACGCCCAGCUGCCUGGCCAGAACGCCACCACCAUCUGCCGCCGCCUGCCUUUCCUCUUCAAACUGGAGCCACUACACUCUGGUCGCCUAUUCAUCUACCGAUCCCAUCGACAUUGCGGUGACACAUUACAUUUUUUUCUGUUUUCCAAAUCCCCUUCACUAAUGAGAAAUUUCGCAGCAUCCCCCCUUCAAGUAUUUAUUGAAGAAAACUUUCAAUCAAGAAUUCAUUCAUGCUGAUGUAAUUAUGCAAUGAAUUACAGAACUUCAUUCAAAGAAAUUAAAUGGAAACCAUUAGUCGGUUGGACUACACCUUAACGUGCAACAUAAUUGGUGAAUGUAUAUCCAUAAUUUAUUUCCUUCCAUGUCCAGUUAAUGUCCAGUCCAGUUCCAGUUAAUUUCAUUGCUCUCGGAAAUUUUCUAAAUUUUUUUUUGUGCUUGCAUUACUAUGACCACAGCUAAAGUAAUGCAAGGCGGCAAAUUAUUCACUGCUGCCAAAAAUCUAAAUUUUUUUUUUGCCACUUGUCGGCAGCAACGCAAGUGGAAAACUGCUUAGCAAGAUAUGUAUCUAGCAAAUACAUAUGCAGUUGGCAUCUUCAUAACAACAGAGAGGUGGAUCAUGCUACACUGAGGCUCAAGGGCUAACUGGACAAACCUAGCUGAGCUAGACAAGGGUGGACCAGUGCAUGGCACUGGCUCGGGUCAGGCCAGGGAAAAGUGUCCAUGCAGUGCUCUACUUUUAUGCACUGUUAUCAAGUACUGAAAUUUCAUCCUUAAAAAUUUCUUGGUCAUGCAAGCAUACUAUGCUCUUCUAUGUCCAUCACAGUUGCCUCUCAUUUUCACAACUACCUAAGCUUUAUAGCUCAAUAUAGCUGUAAAAAUAAGGUAUACUGAAGCAUACACUAAUGUUUUGUUUAUGUGUUCCUGUCGUAUGUUGAAAGGCAACGUUUUGGUUGCAAGGUGACUUUCAGUUGUGUUUUGCCUCGGUACCAUGACAAUGACGUAUUGUCAAAAAUUCAUUCAACAAGAGAGAUAGCAGUUGAUGCC